rnacentral:lncRNA from 1 species
UCCUGGGGACCCGAGUCCCUCAGUCCUCCCUCUGACCCCCACCUGGACACCGUGGCCCCUUCCUGUGUCCCUGCCCUUUCCUGACCUAGGAUCCUGUCCCUCACCCCAAGGUCCUCAGCUUCCUCAGAUCCCCGAGGCACAGUUGAGUGGACGGGGCCUGCGGCCACCCUCUACACGUACCCCGGCACCGAGGCCCAGGCUUAUCUCCUCUCCCCCGGGGCGGGAUGGGCCCUGCGGAUCUCCAUGAAGUCCCGACACCUGCUGCAGAAGAGCCUGGGCCCGUCCCCCCUAUUAUUCCUGCCCCCCAAUUCCUGCUUUGGUCUCUUCCAACUGUUCCUGCUGGUUACUUGGUCCUGCUCAGAUAGGCCUGAACAAAGCCUCCUGUUUUCUUGCUCCUAGGACAAGUUGUCCUCAGAGUAGGGUCUCAGUUGGCAGCCCCCCUAUUACUCCUGCUCCCUCCCACUUACUGGUUUGGUCUCUUCCAACUGUUCCUGCUGUGGUUAGUUGGUCCUGCUCAACAGGCCCCAAUAAAGAGUCCUGUUUUCUUGCCCCCUGGGUCAAGUAGUGUUCCAAGUAGGGUCUCAGUUGGUAGCCCCCCCCCCCACACACACAUUUCUUGCUUUGGUCUCUUCCAACUGUUCCUGCUGGUUAGUUGGUCCUGCUCAGAUAGGCCCCAACAAAGAGUCCUGUUUUCUUGCCCCCUAGGUCAAGUUGUCCCCAGAGUAGGGUCUUACUUGGUAGCCCCCCUUUUUUUCCUGCCCCCCAACUCCUGCUUUGGUCUCUUCCAACGGUUCCUGCUGGUUACUUGGUCCUGCUCAGAUAGGCCUGAACAAAGCCUCCUGUUUUCUUGCUCCUAGGACAAGUUGUCCCCAGAGUAGGGUCUUACUUGGUAGCCCCCCUUUUUUUCCUGCCCUCCCACUCUGUCUACUUGGGUCUCUUCCAACGGUUCCUGCUUGUUACUUGGUCCUGCUCAGAUAGGGCCCAACAAAGAGUCCUAUUUUCUUGCCCCUAGGACAAGUUGUCCUCAGAGUAGGGUCUCAGUUGGCAGCCCCCCUAUUACUCCUGCCCCCCAAUUCCUGCUUUGGUCUCUUCCAACUGUUCCUGCUGUGUAGUUGGUCCUGCUCAACAGGCCUGAACAAAGCCUCCUGUUUUCUUGCCCCCUGGGUCAAGUAGUGUUCCAAGUAGGGUCUCAGUUGGUAGCCCCCUUUUAUUCCUGAUCCCCCCAAUUCCUGCUUUGGUAUCUUCCAAGUGUUCCUGCUGGUUACUUGG